rnacentral:rRNA from 1 species
GCAAGUCGAGCGGUAACAGACCUUCGGGUGCUGACGAGCGGCGGACGGGUGAGUAACGGGUAGAAAACUGCCCGGUAGUGGGGGAUAGCCCAGAGAAAUUUGGAUUAAUACUGCAUACGCUCUACGGAGGAAAGCGGGCUUAGGCUCGCGCUAUCGGAUGUGUCUGCGUGGGAUUAGCUAGUUGGUGAGGUAAUGGCUCACCAAGGCGACGAUCUCUAGCUGGUCUGAGAGGGGGAUC